UUCCGGAGGUGAACCUGCGGAAGGAUCAUUA
rnacentral:rRNA from 1 species